AGUCCUUCUGUUACCAGAUCUUCUCUGUCAUUAAGGUUUCUCCUGAGGGAAUCACACACCAGGAGUGAAAAGCCCCCCACCCCACCCCGUGCUUGACUUUUACACAGACCCUGGGAGUCCAGCCUUCCCUCCCUGUGCUUGGGAGUCCAGCCUUUGGACCCCGUACUUCCAUAACAGUUCUGGUUACAGGCACCUGUCAGCAAGCUUGACUUAUGUCACCUGGGGAGCCUCAAGCUUGCACAGCAAGGACUUUACCCAGUGAGCCAUCGGACCAGUCCAAACAGUGAUCCACUGGACCAGCCCAAACAGUGAGCCUCCCACCUUCUCCUCCCAGAGCGUGGUGCCAGGUGUG